AUCCAACUUUCGAUUCACUCGUGGGAUCCGGGCGGUCCGGGGGGGACCACCACGGCUCCUCUCUUCUCGAGAAUCCAUACGGUUGACUCUGUCUUUUUAACAUCCUUGAUCUUGAUUUGUUUCCCCAUUUUUUUCAUUCUAGUUAUUGUCAUGGGAAGGAAUGAAGAAGAUUAGAGAUCCAAUCAAAUAUUGGUGAUGAAUUCAAACUAGUGGUUGGUUAAUGAGACUCCUAACUUAAUUUAGAUUGGAAAACAAAACGCAAUGGGAGACUUGCUCCAUAGAACCCCCCCCCCCCCCCAGAGACUUUCGUCCCCAGAUCAGGGCUCAAGUGAUUCACCGAAGCGACGAGACCUUGAAAGCUGCUUUUUCAAGUGUCAGUAGCUUCUAUGAUCGAUCGAUAUAAACAUCAACAGCUCCGAAUUGGAUCAGUUUCUCCUCAACAAAUAAGUGCUUGGGCCACUAAAAUCCUACCUAAUGGAGAGAUAGUUGGAGAGGUAACAAACCAUUUUCAUUGUUACUGUUCCGGCUGUUAAAAUUAGAUCCGCUUGUCUAGGACUCAAUCUUGGUACUAGUCCAUAACGAUCAAAGUCGAAGCGUGAGCCUAUUAGUGAAGCAACAAAGAGAUGGUUGAAUCAAAAAAAUUUGUUUAAAGUUCAACUUUUUCAGAGGGCAAGGCAAUAUGAAUGUUCUAUCAUGUUCCAUCAAUACUCUAAAGGGGUUAUACGAUAUAUCCGGUGUGGAAGUAGGCCAACAUUUCUAUUGGCAAAUAGGGGGUUUCCAAGUACUUAAGUCCCGCAACGAGCGCAACCCUCGUGUUUAGUUGCCAUCGUUGAGUUUGGAACCCUGAACAGACUGCCGGUGAUAAGCCGGAGGAAGGUGAGGAUGACGUCAAGUCAUCAUG
rnacentral:lncRNA from 1 species